rnacentral:lncRNA from 1 species
CUUUGUGUGUGUAUUUGUGGAAUCAUUUGUUGAAUAAUAUGAUAAUGGAUUUGUCUAAAGUUUGUUUCAGGAAGCUCUUAGGUAAUCAUUUUCUUAACCCCUUUUGAUUCUUCUAAGUUGCACGCUGGAGUAGAUUUUUUUGUUGCUUGAGGUCCUGAUACUGUGUUAUGAAUAUCGUAGUCCAGUUAGGCUAAACUACAGUAUUAAUAAGUGCCGAGUACCAAAUUGCUAUACAUAUGCAGCUUGGAUAGUGUUCUCUAUGUUGUGUGAAAGAUAAAUAGUAGCACAGUUUUGCAUGUUUAUGUUAGUAGAUUCUUGGUUUUCUUCUAAUUUGAAUAAGGGGCUACUUCCAAAUGUUUGUGAGCAUUAAAAAAGCUCAUGGACUUAAUCCUUUUUUUUGUGUCUGGUUUUUAGCAUCUAGUAUUCAUCUGUUAGCAGGUUUCCUUUUGAUGUUAGAGACUUGCCGUCUAAUUUCUUGUUACUUUAUAAUUGGUCAGGGGUAACUUGAGCCUUAUGAUCCUGCCAACAUCAGACUUGCGACUCUCAUUUAUUGGAGACAAUGGCCACUCUGAGCAACUCUUUACUUAUGCCAACAAAUCUCAUUGCUCUGCGGUGUCAAUUGAGGAGAUAGCUGCGGACAGCUCUGGUAGAUCGUUUGUUAUAAGGAUCGCAAAUGGCAAUGCUUUUUACUAUUGGUGCUCAGAGAAGUCGAAACUUCUAGGAAUUGAACUGCGUAGAAAGGUUUGUGAGACAGAGAUGUUCUUAUUUUUUUUCCGAAUACUGAGUAUUUGCAUCUAAAUUUUCUCAUUAUCUGUUUUUAUUUUCUUUCUGAUUCUUCUCUGUAGAUGGAUGAAUUGAUCAAGAAGAAGCCAUCAGUCUCAGAACUAACUGGAAUUGAAGAAUCGCGUCUUGGCUCUGUUGCUUCCCAUCUCCGUUUGUAUCUCAUGGGCUCGGUGGUGCCUAACAACAAAGGUUGUCUGGUCCCAACUCCUCCUGAUACAUCAUCGUCUUCAGGCUCUUCUGAAGCAACCGCUACCUCCUCCGCUAGUGCAUCGUCGAUAUCUCUUCAGGCACGCCACUCUGGAACGCAACUGUCAAAGUCUCAAGGAAGAUCAAGUUCCUUCGAAGAAAACACACUGAGAAACCCUUCUCUACAUAUCUCAUCCAGAGAUGAAUCAAUGCAAUGCAGCGAAGGCUAUUUCUCGAUCUUUGAUAGUUUACCCAUCACCUCCGUCCCCACAAGUGAAG